rnacentral:misc_RNA from 1 species
AAGUCGUAACAAGGUUUCCGUAGGUGAACCUGCGGAAGGAUCAUUAUCGUACAAAAUGUGAGAGGGGCAUGCGAGGGCUGUCGCUGACUCAAAGUCGUGCACGCCCGAGUGUGUCGCCUCACAUAAUAAUCCAUCUCACCCUUUGUGCAUCACCGCGUGGGCACCCCUUUGGGAUCAUCUCGGAGGGGGCUCGCGUUUUCACACAAAACCCCCCUUUUAAAAGUGUAGAAUGACCUCAUUUAUGCGCUAACCCGCAAUCAAUACAACUUUCAACAACGGAUCUCUUGGCUCUCGCAUCGAUGAAGAACGCAGCGAAAUGCGAUACGUAAUGUGAAUUGCAGAAUUCAGUGAAUCAUCGAAUCUUUGAACGCACCUUGCGCCCCCUGGUAUUCCGAGGGGCACACCCGUUUGAGUGUCGUGAAAACCUCAACCUCCUUGGUUUCUUCUGGAGACCAAAGCAGGCUUGGACUUUGGAGGCCUUUGCUGGCACCUCUCGCCAGCUCCUCUUAAAUGAAUUAGCAGGGUCCUCUUUGCUGAUCCUCGACGUGUGAUAAGAUGUUUCCAUGUCUUGGUUUCUGGCUCUGUCACUUUUGGGACCCGCUUCUAACCGUCUGGACCUCGCGUCGAGACAACGUUCGAGCACGUCUCCCUUCUCGGGAAGCUCCCUCGACCCCCACGAACCCUUGACCUCAAAUCGGGUGAGACUACCCGCUGAACUUAAGCAUAUCAAUAAGCGGAGGAAAAGAAACUAACAAGGAUUCCCCUAGUAACUGCGAGUGAAGCGGGAAAAGCUCAAAUUUAAAAUCUGGCAGCCUUUGGCCGUCCGAGUUGUAAUUUAGAGAA